rnacentral:rRNA from 1 species
UACGAAGGGGGCUAGCGUUGCUCGGAAUCACUGGGCGUAAAGAGCUCGUAGGCGGCUUGUCACGUCGGGUGUGAAAGCCCGGGGCUUAACUCUGGGCUUGCUUUCGAUACGGGCAGACUAGAGGUAUGCAGGGGAGAACGGAAUUCCUGGUGUAGCGGUGAAAUGCGCAGAUAUCAGGAGGAACACCGGUGGCGAAGGCGGUUCUCUGGGCAUUACCUGACGCUGAGGAGCGAAAGUGUGGGGAGCGAACAGG